GAUGAACGCUAGCGACAGGCUUAACACAUGCAAGUCGAGGGACCGGCGCACGGGUGAGUAACACGUAUCCACCAUGCCCUUUACUCGGGGAUAGCCUUUCGAAAGAAAGAUUAAUACCCGAUAUAAAGGAUGGGGAUGCGUUCCAUUAGGUUGUUGGUGAGGUAACGGCCCACCAAGACUUCGAUGGAUAGGGGUUCUGAGAGGAAGGUCCCCCACAUUGGAACUGAGACACGGUCCAAACGCGUAAGGGAGGAAGCAGGGAGGAAUAUGGGUAAAUGGGCGUUAGCCUGAACCAUCCAAGUAGCGGGAAGGAUGAAGGCUUAUGGGUCGUAAACUUCUUUUAUAUAAGAAUAGGUAUUAUAUGAAUAAGGAGCGGCUAACUCCGUGCCAGCAGCCGCGGUAAUAC
rnacentral:rRNA from 1 species